rnacentral:lncRNA from 1 species
AAUUGUGUAAGAAGAAACGGACAUGUUUAGCAAAGUUCGGAAAAAACUUGAGCAACGAAACUUCAGUUUGACAGUUUUGAUGAUGCUUCCAUUGGGCGCAGGGACUCGUCCAUACAACCAUCAUUUUGGGCUCCGUGAACAAUCUAAGGCCAUGUCUUAGGACUGCAGAAGGAAACCGGAGCGAACACAGGGAUAACAGGCCAACUCCACGCAGACUGAGCAUUCACAUGGAACAAUGCUUAAAUUUACCGUUUCAAAAUACAACCUAAUCCAACAGUAAUGCUAAUGCCUCAUGUUUUCUUGAACGGAUACUUACCUCGGGGCCCCUAACCAAGAAAAAUCAGCAAAAACAACCUGUACUGGAC